CCCAAGUGUCUGCUGCAGACAGAACGUGGCAUGGCUAGGGUCAGAGUUCAGGUUAAACACCUAAGUGUCUGCUGCAGACAGAACGUGGCAUGGCUAGGGUCAGAGUUCAGGUUAAACACACCUAAGUGUCUGCUGCAGACAGAACGUGGCAUGGUUAGGGUCAGAGUUCAGGUUAAACACCUAAGUGUCUGCUGCAGACAGAACGUGGCAUGGCUAGGGUCAGAGUUCAGGUUAAACACACCUAAGUGUCUGCUGCAGACAGAACGUGGCAUGGCUAGGGUCAGAGUUCAGGUUAAACACACCUAAGUGUCUGUUGCAGACAGAACGUGGCAUGGUUAGGGUCAGAGUUCAGGUUAAACACACCUAAGUGUCUGCUGCAGACAGAGCGUGGCAUGGCUAGGGUCAGAGUUCAGGUUAAACACCUAAGUGUCUGCUGCAGACAGAACGUGGCAUGGUUAGGGUCAGAGUUCAGGUUAAACACCUAAGUGUCUGCUGCAGACAGAACGUGGCAUGGCUAGGGUCAGAGUUCAGGUUAAACACCUAAGUGUCUGCUGCAGACAGAACGUGGCAUGGCUAGGGUCAGAGUUCAGGUUAAACACCUAAGUGUCUGCUGCAGACAGAACGUGGCAUGGUUAGGGUCAGAGUUCAGGCUUUUGAAUUUUCUUCCAAAGGUAUUAAAGUCCCACAGCCCUGCUCCCAGGCUGCAAGGUGGAGGGGUG